AUAUAUAAGAGAUUGUGCGAAAUACGAAAGGCCAGUGUCAGUUGUAAACUGACAAGUAACAGAGCAUUCAAUUAUCAAUGGAACAUCGCAGUUUUAUCCGUACCGUUCUCGCUCUAAUAGCGACGACCGAAGUCACGUCAGCACCUACAAACGAUUUUGGAUUAGGACGCAAAACCAUCUGGCAAGACGUCGGAAAACACAGUUUCUACGGACCGUGGAACAUCUUGGUAAAACGAAAUGGGGACUAUAUUGAUUACAGCGAUUAUGGUGUUCACUUCGAACAGUUCCGACCUAAUUCACCGGAACUUCCAUACGACGACGUAUCGAUAGCUAACGGAUAUAUUGACGCGUUGCCCACGGCUUACGAUAGCGACCUGUCGGAAGUGAACACGCUACUCAACUUCCGUGGGCCUUGCUGAUUUCCGCACUGGAGUUCGCACUGCUGAUUGGAUCGACCCAAGUACCGACCCAAGUUCCAAAGAACAGCACUGGGAGGAUAUUGCCUCUCAUAAAGUCGAAGAUACGGAGAAACUCGAUGACUUUGUCACUCCAACCGCACCGAGAUAACCAAAUUUUGUAAAAUUAAAUGAAGAAGUGGAAUAGACAUACAAUGGACCUUGUGUGUGUAAUUCUUAUCCAAGUUUAUUAAUUUCACGAAGAGUUAAAAUAAAUUAUCGUUUUAGUAUUAAUAGAAA